rnacentral:sRNA from 1 species
CUAACAGCCCAAGUCUCUCUAUUCCUAGAACAGGACCAAUACACAUUCCUAGAACAGGACCACACAUUCUCCUGCCAAUGUAUCUCAACCCUGUUCUGAAAGGACCAUGUCUAGGAGUGAGAGGAUCCAGGGCCCAUUCAGUCCUUGGAUAUU